rnacentral:rRNA from 1 species
GGCGAACGGGUGAGUAACGCGUGGAUAAUCUACCUUUGAGAUGGGGAUAACCAUUGGAAACAGUGGCUAAUACCGAAUAAAGUCAAGCAAGAUGUUGUUUGAUGAAAGGAGCCUUUAAAGCUUCACUUGAAAAUGAGUCUGCGUCUUAUUAGCUAGUUGGUAGGGUAAGAGCCUACCAAGGCUAUGAUAAGUAACCGGCCUGAGAGGGUGAACGGUCACACUGGAACUGAGAUACGGUCCAG